rnacentral:rRNA from 1 species
GGGUUGUGAGGUUAAGCGAAUAAGCGUACACGGUGGAUGCCUAGGCAAUCAGAGGCGAUGAAGGACGUGCUAAUCUGCGAAAAGCGUCGGUAAGGUGAUAUGAACCGUUAUACCCGACGAUAUCCGAAUGGGGAAACCCAGUAUCCAAUGGAUACUAUCAUUAACUGAAUCCAUAGGUUAAUGAGGCGAACCGGGAGAACUGAAACAUCUCAGUACCCCGAGGAAAAGAAAUCAACCGAGAUUCCCCUAGUAGCGGCGAGCGAACGGGGAGCAGCCCAGAGUCUUAAUCAAUAGCAGUGUCAGGAGAACGGUCUGGAAAGUCCGGCAGUAAAGGGUGAUAGCCCCGUAUCUGAAGAUGCUGUUGUUGUGAACUCGACGAGUAGGGCGGGACACGUGUUAUCCUGUCUGAAUAUGGGGGGACCAUCCUCCAAGGCUAAAUACUCCUGAUUGACCGAUAGUGAACCAGUACCGUGAGGGAAAGGCGAAAAGAACCCCGGCGAGGGGAGUGAAAAAGAACCUGAAACCGUGUACGUACAAGCAGUAGGAGCCUCUUUAUGGGGUGACUGCGUACCUUUUGUAUAAUGGGUCAGCGACUUAUAUUCUGUAGCAAGGUUAACCGCAUAGGGGAGCCGUAGGGAAACCGAGUCUUAACUGGGCGAAUGAGUUGCAGGGUAUAGACCCGAAACCCGGUGAUCUAUCCAUGGGCAGGUUGAAGGUUGGGUAACACUAACUGGAGGACCGAACCGACUAAUGUUGAAAAAUUAGCGGAUGACUUGUGGAUGGGGGUGAAAGGCCAAUCAAACCGGGAGAUAGCUGGUUCUCCCGAAAGCUAUUUAGGUAGCGCCUCGUGAACUCAUCUUCGGGGGUAGAGCACUGUUUCGACUAGGGGGUCAUCCCGACUUACCAACUCGAUGCAAACUGCGAAUACCGAAGAAUGUUAUCACGGGAGACACACGGCGGGUGCUAACGUCCGUCGUGAAGAGGAAACAACCCAGACCGCCAGCUAAGGUCCCAAAGUCAUGGUUAAGUGGGAAACGAAGUGGGAAGGCUCAGACAGCCAGGAUGUUGGCUUAGAAGCAGCCAUCAUUUAAAGAAAGCGUAAUAGCUCACUGGUCGAGUCGGCCCGCGCGGAAGAUGUAACGGGGCUAAACCAUGCACCGAAGCUGCGGCAGCGACACAAAGUGUUGUUGGGUAGGGGAGCGUUCUGUAAGCCUGCGAAGGUGUACUGUGAGGUAUGCUGGAGGUAUCAGAAGUGCGAAUGCUGACAUAAGUAACGAUAAUGCGGGUGAAAAACCCGCACGCCGGAAGACCAAGGGUUCCUGUCCAACGUUAAUCGGGGCAGGGUGAGUCGACCCCUAAGGCGAGGCUGAAAAGCGUAGUCGAUGGGAAACGGGUUAAUAUUCCCGUACUGGUGGUAACUGCGAUGGGGGAACGGAGAAGGCUAGGUUGUCCGGGCGACGGUCGUCCCGGUUCAAGCAGGUAGGCAGAGUGAUUAGGCAAAUCCGGUCACUUAAUGCUGAGAUGUGAUGACGAACCACUAAGGUGGUGAAGCAAUUGAUGCCCCGCUUCCAGGAAAAGCCUCUAAGCUUCAGGUUACCAACAAUCGUACCCCAAACCGACACAGGUGGUCAGGUAGAGAAUACUCAGGCGCUUGAGAGAACUCGGGUGAAGGAACUAGGCAAAAUGGUGCCGUAACUUCGGGAGAAGGCACGCUGGCGGUAGGUAAAGUCCCUUGCGGACGGCGCUGAAGCCAGUCGAAGAUACCAGCUGGCUGCAACUGUUUAUUAAAAACACAGCACUGUGCAAACACGAAAGUGGACGUAUACGGUGUGACGCCUGCCCGGUGCUGGAAGGUUAAUUGAUGGGGUCAGCCGCAAGGCGAAGCUCCUGAUCGAAGCCCCAGUAAACGGCGGCCGUAACUAUAACGGUCCUAAGGUAGCGAAAUUCCUUGUCGGGUAAGUUCCGACCUGCACGAAUGGCGUAAUGAUGGCCAGGCUGUCUCCACCCGAGACUCAGUGAAAUUGAACUCGCUGUGAAGAUGCAGUGUACCCGCGGCAAGACGGAAAGACCCCGUGAACCUUUACUAUAGCUUGACACUGAACAUUGAGCCUUGAUGUGUAGGAUAGGUGGGAGGCUUUGAAGUGUGGACGCCAGUCUGCAUGGAGCCAACCUUGAAAUACCACCCUUUAACGUUUGAUGUUCUAACCUAGGCCCAUAAACUGGGUCGGGGACCGUGUCUGGUGGGUAGUUUGACUGGGGCGGUCUCCUCCUAAAGAGUAACGGAGGAGCACGAAGGUUGGCUAAGCAUGGUCGGACAUCAUGCGGUUAGUGCAAAGGCAUAAGCCAGCUUGACUGCGAGUGACGGCUCGAGCAGGUACGAAAGUAGGUCUUAGUGAUCCGGUGGUUCUGAAUGGAAGGGCCAUCGCUCAACGGAUAAAAGGUACUCCGGGGAUAACAGGCUGAUACCGCCCAAGAGUUCAUAUCGACGGCGGUGUUUGGCACCUCGAUGUCGGCUCAUCACAUCCUGGGGCUGAAGUAGGUCCCAAGGGUAUGGCUGUUCGCCAUUUAAAGUGGUACGCGAGCUGGGUUUAGAACGUCGUGAGACAGUUCGGUCCCUAUCUGCCGUGGGCGUUGGAAGAUUGAGAGGGGUUGCUCCUAGUACGAGAGGACCGGAGUGAACGCACCACUGGUGUUCGGGUUGUCAUGCCAAUGGCAUUGCCCGGUAGCUAAGUGCGGAAGAGAUAACCGCUGAAAGCAUCUAAGCGGGAAACUUGCCUCGAGAUGAGUCUUCCCUGUCACUUUAAGUGACCUAAAGGAACGUUUAAGACUAAGACGUUGAUAGGCUGGGUGUGUAAGCGUAGCGAUACGUUGAGCUAACCAGUACUAAUGAACCGUGAGGCUUAACCUGACAACACCGAAAGUGUUUUG